rnacentral:rRNA from 1 species
UACGGAAGGGGCAAGCGUUGUUCGGAAUCAUUGGGCGUAAAGGGCGCGUAGGUGGUCUUGUGUGUCUAUCGUGAAAGCGUACGGCUCAACCGUAUUUAGUCGGUAGAAACUGCAGGACUUGAGGCUGGGAGGGGCUGGUGGAAUUCCCUGUGUAGCGGUGAAAUGCGUAGAGAUGGGGGAGAACACUCGUGGCGAAGGCGGCCAGCUAGACCAGUUCUGACACUGAGGCGCGAUAGCGUGGGGAGCAAACAGG